rnacentral:rRNA from 1 species
UUGAUAUUCUGCGAGCACGGCCAGACUUGGGACCGGGAGAGGUGUGGGGUACUCUCAGGGUAGGGAUAAAAUCCUGUCAUCCUGAGAGGACCACCUUGUUGCGAAGGCUGCCACAUCUAGAACUGGAUCCGACGUGUCAGGGACGUAAACCGUAGGGGCAGCGAACCUGGAUUAGAUACCCGGGGUAGUCCUAAGGUGUAAACGCUGUGGACUUGAUGUUGGGGGCGCUCCGAGCGCUCUCAGUGUCGAAGCGAAGGUGAUAAGUCCACUGCCUGGGGAGUACGGUCGCAAGGCUGAAACUCAAAUGAAUUGACGG